rnacentral:rRNA from 1 species
UACGUAGGUGACAAGCGUUAUCCGGAUUUACUGGGCGUAAAGCGCACGCAGGCGGCUGAUUAAGUCUGACGUGAAAUCUCCUGGCUUAACUGGGAGGGGUCGUUGGAAACUGGUUGGCUUGAGGCAGUGAGAGGGGUGUGGAAUUCCCGGUGUAGUGGUGGAAUGCGUAGAUAUCGGGAGGAACACCAGUGGCGAAAGCGGCACCCUGGCACUGGCCUGACGCUCAUGUGCGAAAGCGUGGGGAGCAAACGGG